rnacentral:ncRNA from 1 species
UGCAAAUUGUUGAACAAGAGGAGUACACAUAUUUAUUUCUUUGCAGAGAAUCGGGGAUGGUGAGAACCCGAUAAGAAAGAAUUUGUGGAAUGGACUUGUGAGAGGUAUCUUGAACAAAAGUAGGGAUACACGGAGUUCUGCCGUUAAAAGGAUAGGAUAUCGAGCGAUUGCUCUGUAUCUGAAAUUGAGGAAGCAAUUAAUUUUUGCUUCAAACAGAGGUGGCACCACGACAAUAGAAUCGUCCUCUAU